UUAAAAGUUAAAACAGCCUCAAAGCUUAUAGUUAAAACAAAUUUAGAACCAUGAACACAAAAACAAAAUCCUGAGUACCCCGAUUCAGAGGACGAUGGUUUGUGGAGUUUUGUCCUUGACCAGCCCUUGGUGCUAGGAUUUAGCCUCCAAAUUUGAUGCCAAAAGAGCCUUUAAUCAUCGUCCGACCACUUACGGUUCAACAGUUAGAAUUGUAUGUUCAGAUUCCGGUCUAGACUUGCCUGCAAAUACUGGGAAACUUCAUAGUGAUGCUUCUGUGACUGGUGGCGCUUAUGGUUUUGAUAGAGCAACAACAUCUCUCACUCAAAAGUUGAUCUCAUCGACCAAAAAAGGUCACUCUUGUAAGGCAUGGUCUUAGUUCUUGGAAUGAUGAGGGCAUAGUUCAGGUUUGUUGCCUUUCUUAUUUUACUAACAAGGGAUGUGUGAAUUGAAUGUUCCUUGAGCAGUUCUUGCUUCUUUGUUUCUUUUUUACAUCUGUUUUCUUUGUAUAGUUUGGUUGUGUUUCUGCCCUUCGUUACUUGCUAAUACAUCGGAGAAAGGCUUUGGUGGAAUCUGAUGGUGAAGUAUAGUAUAGACUUGUUAAUAUCACUGAAAUUUCAUCCAUGACAAGAAGAAAAAUCACCUGAAUUCCUGGCCUUAAUUCUUAUUCCUCUCGCAUUUUUCGCCAUCUUAACCUUUUCUUUUAGGCUUUCAUGAAGUUGUUUACUUUCUGUGGACAUAAAAUUCAAGUCUAAUCCUUCUUCUGUGCCUCGAAAUGCCAUUCUGGAUGCUAUUUUGAAUCUUUUUUUCCAUUUUUCCAAUGAGAAACAGAGAGAAUUUUAUUAAGGAAAUCAAAUCAGAUGAUAACUUCAUUACUUCAAGCAUGUAUGCAGGGAAGCUCAAAUUUGUCUGUGCUAACAGAAAUUGGAGUAAGGCAAGCAGAGAGGUGUCGGGAAGCUUUAAGAAAUAUAUCCUUUGAUCGAUGCUUUUCAAGUCCAAUAUCUCGUGCCAAAACCACUGCUGAAGUUUUAUGGCUAGGGAGGGAUGAGCCACUUGUUUUCCUUGAUUCAUUGAAGAAGGCCCAUCUAUUUUUCCUUGAUUCAUUGAAAAAUGUAUUUGGAGGCAGUGGAAGCUAGGCAGAAGUAUCCAAAGGAGUAUACAACUUGGAGAGAAAAUCCUGCUAACUUUGAAGUGAAUGGUGUCUAUCUUGUAAGAAAACUAUGGGGAACAGCUAGGGAGGCUUGGAGGGAAAUUCUAUCCACACCUGUAUGUCCUUUUCAUGCCUGUAGUUGUUUGUGUUUCUUAUGUUUCAAAUAGAUUUUUUUGACAGGUUUCUUUCAGGGAAAGAACUUAUUGGUUGUCACUCACAAAUCAAUUUUGAGGGUGCUUAUCUGCACAGCUUUAGGGCUAGGCCCAGAGAGAUGACAUGAGUGCUCUUGGCCAGUGAUUAGGAACCCAGCCCAGCCCGGCCGGUUUAAGCGGGACUUGGGGCCUUAACCAGGUCGGGUUAAAAUUUUUCCUAUUCAUUCAAAACCCUAGAAAUUAGGACAUUAAUCCAUAAACAAUUGAAGGUUGAAAUGUUAGGGCUUUUGAAGAGGAAUGGCCAACGAGUGGAAUGGUGGCGACGAAGGUGAUUUCCGAUGAAUGAAUCGAUCGGAAAUCGCAAAAAUAAGUCACGGAAAAAAGCCCGCUAUUGCUGGCAAUUGAGGCGGCUAACGAGGGAGGGGUGAGAUAGGUUUUGGUCAAGAGGCUGAGGGGAGUGUUUUCAUGGUGAUGGGGAGUGUUGUCGCUGGACACACGCCCUAUUUGCCGACACCGACGGUGGUGUUUGGGGUGUUUUUGCAAAAUUUUAAACCUAUAGAGACUUAUAGUAAUUUUUAGGGUUAUUUUUGUUGGAUUUCAAACCUUUGGAUACUAGUUUUACCUGCCGGUCAAACUGGUUAAACCGCUCAACCCGGACCCGGUGGCUUGGUUGGGUCACUACACAGGUUCGGUUUCUAAUCACUGCUCUUGGCAACACAUCUUUUUCCUUUUUCCAUAUAAGUCACAGAUCAUCUCUAAAUGGUCUUAGUCAUCUUAUUGAAGGAAAUGUGCUUGCUAAGAUCAUUUAUCUUAGAAUUAUAUAUUCAUAAUAAAACAUAUUCCUGACAUGAUCUUUUGGCAAUCAGCUCUCAUAAGCCUCUUGAUGUUUCAGGUUUCGCGCAAUAGAUGUGAAUAACGGUGGCAUAUCUGUAUUUGUUUUAAACAAACAAGGAGAAGCGAUGCUUUAGUCUUUGAACAUGACAGCGCACAUGUACAGUGAUUACAAGUACUUUUAUUGAAGUUUCGUAAUGCAUUUUGCUGAAUGGCAACCAUUUUAGCUGCCCUAUGCAUACA